CAAGACUAGCCUUUUAGCAAGAACUUUUAUAUCUCUGUUAAAUGUGACAAGCAGAGAAAAACUGUAUAGCCAUCACUUAGAUGAAAUAUAGCAAUGUGACCAAGCCUAUGUUACAAAAAUCAUGUAGGUUUUACUUAUUUUCCUUUCUCUUUGUCCUUAACUUCCUCCAGGCAGGACUGCUUGCAUGUAGUCAUUUUGGUAGAGGGUAGUCACUAAUAAGUGAUUAACUUCAUAUCCUAACCCCCAGGGGCGGCUUGCAAGAUUGAUGAACUUGUUUUUCUUGUAAAGAACAAUGAUCCCUGGGUCAUGCUGACCUCCUUGAUGGCACCCAGAAGUUUGAUUGGCCAAGGGAUGCAAGCAGCUUUGAUAAUCAGGGGAUCUCACUUCCCAUAUACCUACCUUACUCAUAAAAGCCACUGGUUACGUGCAAAGGGAGGCUGAAUUUGAGAAUUUGCCUCUCCCACCCUCAUGCUUUGGUCAAAUUGAAUAAACCUUUCUCUGCUCUGAAGCACCGAUGUGUCAGUGUUUGGCUUACUGCGCAUCAGGUACUUGAACCUAACUUUUGGGGUUCUGCAACAGAUUUUGGCAACCAUGCCAGGUCUAGCAUGGCAAUAGGUCAGUGUAGGCUGCUGUUGGUACUCUAGAAGCUUAGAGCAGAGAAACAUCUCAGACUGCUAUCUGGACUUCUGGUUUUGGUUUGAAGGGUAAGUCACUGCGGUGCACACAGCCAUAUCUCACUCUCUCUGCUUGCAUUGUGAAGAGGGCCCUUUUGGGGGAGUAAUAGAAUGGUGGACUAUGCCCAUUUUCUUGUUUGCUUUCCUGUAGGGAGUUUGGUUUUCUGUUUGUGAUUUUGUUUUGUUGUUGUUGUUGUUUGGUUUGGGGGGUGUGUGUGUGUGUAUCUGUGUGUGUGUGUGUGUGUGGUGUGUGUGUUAUGUGAAAAGACUGAACAGGGCAAAUUUGGAAUUGAUCCCAGAGAGUAGCAUCAUUGGCUGCAUUCUCCAGAAUUGGGCCACUUUCAGCUAUGAGCCCAUGAAGAAAAAUAAAAUUUUUUUAACUGUAACGCUGCUUGGCCUCAAUAUGCCUUAGAAUUUGGGAAAAAAUGGCUGACAAACAGUUCUUUAAGUUAUGCUACUAUAAUACAACUGCAACUAUUCUGUAAGAGCAGAGAAAAUAGGAUGCAAUCCUGUAUGUCCAGGCUUUUAUACUCUUUUAUCAGAAUGAACCUACUCAAAAGAGGUAUAAUUUGAUGCUGCAAAAGGAAAAACAGCCCAAACCUAAGGUUUUAGACUCCCACCAUUAGGUGGGGAAGACAGGGCACUGCUUGGUGCUUUGAAUCCCCUGAAUAAUCAUCCUGAUCCUCUGCCCCCCAGUCAGCUAUGGCUCCAGCACCUCCACCUCCUUAUGGGAUUGUCUGGAGCAGGAGGGGAACACUCCCAAACCUGUCCUCCCCAUGGAAUUAGGACAGGUUGUGGUCUCGCCUUCCUGCAACUGACAGGAAACCCAAUUUGGCCUGGGACCCACUGGUCCCUUAGUAGGGCAGUUUCCUCUGUGUCAAUUCCCCACUGUGGGACUUGAAUGGACAACAGUUUGGCAUGAUGUGGUUACAUUUCCUUUUCCCACUUUGGAGCUGUUCAGUGGGAAAACAAUAUCUUUGGAAAAACAAUAAUCCCCCCUAUCCCAACCCAAGCAAAUGGCUGGGCUAUUCUUGUCUAUAUUUCUGACCUACCACCCGACAAGGGCAGAUACUCACUUUGUUAAAGUGCUGCUCACAGCAGAAGAAAGGCAUGUAGUCACAGAAAAGGCUAGGGAAGAAGCAAAUCGGCUCCAUCUGGAGGCAGGAAACAAUCACCCCUGGCCAAUAGACUCAGUCCCUAACACAGAGACCAGGUGCGAUGUAAAUGGUGGGGCCUUUCCCACUUAGGACACUAUGAGAACCACAUCCUUGAAGGUUUGAGGAAAGGGGUUACUCAGGUUAAGAGCCUCAAUAAGGUACAGGAAGUACAGCGGCAAGCAUAUGAGGACCCUUUGUAAUUCCCAGAAAGACUCCAUCAGACAUGUGGAAAGUAGGUUGACGCUAACUAACCCUGAGGCACCGGACAAUCAGAGAAUGGUCAAUGUGACCUUUAUCAGCCACAGUGCCCUGAUAUUCAAAGAAAACUGCAAAAGGUAAAUGGGAUCCUUGGGUUGCCAAUCUCACAUUUAGUGGACUUAGCUUUUAAAGUGUACUAUGCUCAGGAUGAGGCUCAGGAAAGUGCAAAUUGAAGCAACAAGUAACUCACUGGCAGCUGUGCUUGACUACCAACCUAGGGGAAAAGGAAGAAAUCAAAGAGCGGCUCACGCCCCCUUCAGAAAAAAAACCAAUAUGCCUAUUGUAAGAAGGAGGGACACUGGAAAAAGGGCUGUCCCAAAUUGACCAAAGCAGCUAGCAAGUGCAGUGUCCCUCAAAAUCAGAUGAGGAGAGAGAAUAAUAUUUAGAUGAAGACUGAUGUGUCCCAGGGACUCCCUUAGACUUGGAGCAACCAGUGGCUAUAUCCCCACAGGAUUCCUAGAUACAACUGACAGUGGGGAACAGAAUGAUUGACUUUUUACUUGACACAGUGCCACAUAUUAAUUAAUUAACAAUUGUCUCUCUCCAGCUUUGGGAAAAACCAUUACUGUUACACGGAUAUUGGGAGACACCAUUAUCCCUUUCUACAAUCUUCAGGUUACCAUUUACGAGAGACCGGCCUAGGGCAUAGUUUCUUGUACAUGCUUAAUGCCCAGUGCCCCUCCUGGGCUGGGAUUUGCUUGCCAAAUUGUAUGCUCAACUUGUCUUUCCCCCCAGAUGCCUAGAUAUAAUGAUUCCUUCUGAACAAGUUUGCAGGUUUCAAAUACUCCUGCUGCAACCAGAAAACGAAGAGGUUCAGGACAUUCCAGAAGAAAUUCUCACACAGCUAUGACUAUAGGAACAGGAAUACUCCUUGGCUGUGGAUUAUACUGCUGUGGCACUAUAUAUGUGGGAUUGCAAGAUCGCCCUUCUCAAGCUCCUGACACCCUGUUCAACAAUGUUACAACAAAAUUGCCUAAGUCCCGGGACAUGUGAAUAUUUUCAACUGCAGAACAAUGAUCCUUAGGUCAUACUGACCUCCCUGAUGGCAUCCAGAAAUUUGACUGGCCAAGGGACACGAGCAGCUUUGAUCAUCAGGGAAAGCCCCCAAUUACAUGCAAAGGAAGGUCAUAUUUGAGAAUCUGCUUCUCCCACCCUCAUACUUUGGCCAAAUUGAAUAAACCUUUCUAAGCAUUAAUGUGUCAGUGUUUGGCUUACUGUGCACCGGGUACAUGAACCUAACUUUUGGGGUUCUACAACAGCAACCUGACUGAGCUAAUCACGUACAGCCAAGAACAGCUGAGCUACAGUAGCUCCUUAAAAUCAGGGUCCAGAUGUUGUUCAUAGAUGAGAGAAGAGAAAAUAACUAUCACAUGCAGCAUCAGACAUUCAAUGACACAAAUCCUCAAAAUCAGAUGCUUUAAAAAAUGAAGCCAAUGGCUGGGCAUGGUGGCUCAUGCCUGUAAUCCCAGCACUUUGGGAGGCCAAGGCAGGAGGAUCGCUUGAGCUCAGGAGUUCAAGACCAACCUGGGCAACAAAGUGAGACCUUAUCUCUAUCAAAAAUUUAAAAAUAAAUUAAUUAAAAUAAUUUAAAAAUGAAGCCAGGUUGCUCAAGUAUUCAUCAAGUAUUUACUGAGGCUUACUAUGUGUUAUGAUGAUGAGACACUUCUUUGAGCCAUCAAAGGUUUCUGGCUUCCUCUGCAACUAAAAAUAAUUACCCUCCCCAAUGAAGGGUCUGUGUGUUCCACAGGUAUAGCAGCAGAAGAGACAACUUGGAAAAAGUGAAGGUAGGCCAGGCACAGUGGCUCAUGGCUAUAAUCCUAACACUUUGGGAGGCUGAGGUGAGUGGAUUCGCUUGAGCUAAGGAGUUUGAGACCAGCCUGGGCAACAUGGCAAAACCUGGUCUCUAUUAAAAAAAAUACAAAAAAUUGGCCAGGCAUUGUAGUCCACACCUGUAGUCUCAGCUACUAGGGAGGCUGAGGUGGGAGGAUCACUUCAGCCAGGAGGCAGAGGCUGCAGUGAGCCUAGAUGGCACCACUGCACUCCAGCCUGGGUGACAGAGCAAGACCCUGUCUCAAAAAAAAAAAAAAAAAAAAAGGUAAGCCACAACUCCACUUAAGAGGAGAGGCAACUGGAGAAAGAUCCCAGGAGGUUAUAUUCAACAACGGAGCAAUAACACAGUAGUCUUGCUAGACAUCCACAGCCUUUAAAUGGACAUAUUCUACUCUGUUUAUCACCUUUAUAAAAGUUUUCAAGUUUUCUGGAUAGUUCUACUCAGUUGAUGGCAAUUACCCUGCCAGGUAACUUACUCACUAUAAUUGAAUAAACCAGCAAUCUGGUUUAUCAGUCAGUCUCUCUUGCUCAAUUGACAAUCCCUAAAAGUUCAUCCAUUCCUGUGUGAGACCGUAUAUCUGACAAUUCAGUCAAAGGAAGUUGGUCAAAUCCCACAACUGACUGCCAAAGAAAGUAAUAUCUAAUCACAAAAAUACCACAAUUAAUUACAGGUAGUAACUAGGUUCUAAAGAAAUUAUCUCCUAAGUAGAUUUUAAUAUAAAUUUUGAACAGUU
rnacentral:lncRNA from 1 species